rnacentral:rRNA from 1 species
GACGAACGCUGGCGGCGUGCUUAACACAUGCAAGUCGAACGGAAAGGCCCUGCUUUUGUGGGGUGCUCGAGUGGCGAACGGGUGAGUAACACGUGAGUAACCUGCCCUUGACUUUGGGAUAACUUCAGGAAACUGGGGCUAAUACCGGAUAGGAGCUCCUGCUGCAUGGUGGGGGUUGGAAAGUUUCGGCGGUUGGGGAUGGACUCGCGGCUUAUCAGCUUGUUGGUGGGGUAGUGGCUUACCAAGGCUUUGACGGGUAGCCGGCCUGAGAGGGUGACCGGCCACAUUGGGACUGGGAUACGGCCCAGACUCCUACGGGAGGCAGCAGUGGGGAAUAUUGCACAAUGGGCGGAAGCCUGAUGCAGCAACGCUGCGUGCGGGAUGACGGCCUUCGGGUUGUAAACCGCUUUCGCCUGUGACGAAGCGUGAGUGACGGUAAUGGGUAAAGAAGCACCGGCUAACUACGUG